GACGUAGGGCGCGAGCGUUGUCCGGAUUUAUUGGGCGUAAAGAGCUCGUAGGCGGCUUGUCGCGUCGUUCGUGAAAACCCGGGGCUCAACUCCGGGCUUGCGGGCGAUACGGGCAGGCUAGAGUUCGGUAGGGGAGACUGGAAUUCCCGGUGUAGCGGUGAAAUGCGCAGAUAUCAGGAGGAACACCGAUGGCGAAGGCAGGUCUCUGGGCCACUACUGACGCUGAGAAGCGAAAGCAUGGGGAGCGAACAGG
rnacentral:rRNA from 1 species